rnacentral:rRNA from 2 species
CUUACCAUGCAGUCGAACGGUAACAGGGAGCUUGCUCCGCUGACGAGUGGCGAACGGGUGAGUAAUAUAUCGGAACGUACCUAGUAAUGGGGGAUAACUAGUCGAAAGAUUAGCUAAUACCGCAUACGCCCUAAGGGGGAAAGAGGGGGAUCGCAAGACCUCUUGUUAUUAGAGCGGCCGAUAUCUGAUUAGCUAGUUGGUGAGGUAAAGGCUCACCAAGGCGACGAUCAGUAGCUGGUCUGAGAGGACGACCAGCCACACUGGAACUGAGACACGGUCCAGACUCCUACGGGAGGCAGCAGUGGGGAAUUUUGGACAAUGGGCGCAAGCCUGAUCCAGCAAUGCCGCGUGAGUGAAGAAGGCCUUCGGGUUGUAAAGCUCUUUUGUCAGGGAAGAAACGGUGCGGGCUAAUAUCCUGUGCUAAUGACGGUACCUGAAGAAUAAGCACCGGCUAACUACGUGCCAGCAGCCGCGGUAAUACGUAGGGUGCAAGCGUUAAUCGGAAUUACUGGGCGUAAAGCGUGCGCAGGCGGUUGUGUAAGACAGGUGUGAAAUCCCCGGGCUUAACCUGGGAAUGGCAUUUGUGACUGCACGGCUAGAGUGUGUCAGAGGGGGGUAGAAUUCCACGUGUAGCAGUGAAAUGCGUAGAGAUGUGGAGGAAUACCGAUGGCGAAGGCAGCCCCCUGGGAUAACACUGACGCUCAUGCACGAAAGCGUGGGGAGCAAACAGGAUUAGAUACCCUGGUAGUCCACGCCCUAAACGAUGUCUACUAGUUGUCGGGUCUUAAUUGACUUGGUAACGCAGCUAACGCGUGAAGUAGACCGCCUGGGGAGUACGGUCGCAAGAUUAAACUCAGAGAAG